AUGAACGCUGGCGGCGUGCUUAACACAUGCAAGUCGCACGAUGAAGCUCAGCUUGCUGGGUGGAUUAGUGGCGAACGGGUGAGUAACACGUGAGUAACCUGCCCUUAACUCUGGGAUAAGCCUGGGAAACUAGGUCUAAUACCGGAUAGGAGCGCCUACCGCAUGGUGGGUGUUGGAAAGAUUUAUCGGUUUUGGAUGGACUCGCGGCCUAUCAGCUUGUUGGUGAGGUAAUGGCUCACCAAGGCGACGACGGGUAGCCGGCCUGAGAGGGUGACCGGCCACACUGGGACUGAGACACGGCCCAGACUCCUACGGGAGGCAGCAGUGGGGAAUAUUGCACAAUGGGCGAAAGCCUGAUGCAGCGACGCCGCGUGAGGGAUGACGGCCUUCGGGUUGUAAACCUCUUUCAGUAGGGAAGAAGCGAAAGUGACGGUACCUGCAGAAGAAGCACCGGCUAACUACGUG
rnacentral:rRNA from 1 species